AUUAAAAAUUUUCAAUACGUACUAAAUAAAAAGAAAAUAUGAAUUAAUGUUGUCGCUACAUGACUUUAAUAAACUACAAAAAUAUUAUGUUAUACAUUAUUUAUAAAAAAACAGAUAAUCAACAAAGAAAUAUUGGCCACGUGGAAACACUUCGGCUUUUCACUGUGGACUGGGAUUCGAUUUCGGGUGUCACCCUUGGAAAUAUUUUUCAUAGAAUCCAGGCCCCUAUCUUCACAAUCUGGCUAACCCCUCCGCAGGGAUGGGAAGCCUGUGGAAGUGCUUAUUUCACUCUUGCCACUUAGUAUU
rnacentral:lncRNA from 1 species